UGCAGUCGAGCGGAACGAGUUAUCUGAACCUUCGGGGAACGAUAACGGCGUCGAGCGGCGGACGGGUGAGUAAUGCCUAGGAAAUUGCCCUGAUGUGGGGGAUAACCAUUGGAAACGAUGGCUAAUACCGCAUGAUGCCUACGGGCCAAAGAGGGGGACCUUCGGGCCUCUCGCGUCAGGAUAUGCCUAGGUGGGAUUAGCUAGUUGGUGAGGUAAGGGCUCACCAAGGCGACGAUCCCUAGCUGGUCUGAGAGGAUGAUCAGCCACACUGGAACUGAGACACGGUCCAGACUCCUACGGGAGGCAGCAGUGGGGAAUAUUGCACAAUGGGCGCAAGCCUGAUGCAGCCAUGCCGCGUGUGUGAAGAAGGCCUUCGGGUUGUAAAGCACUUUCAGUCGUGAGGAAGGUAGUGUAGUUAAUAGCUGCAUUAUUUGACGUUAGCGACAGAAGAAGCACCGGCUAACUCCGUGCCAGCAGCCGCGGUAAUACGGAGGGUGCGAGCGUUAAUCGGAAUUACUGGGCGUAAAGCGCAUGCAGGUGGUUUGUUAAGUCAGAUGUGAAAGCCCGGGGCUCAACCUCGGAAUUGCAUUUGAAACUGGCAGACUAGAGUACUGUAGAGGGGGGUAGAAUUUCAGGUGUAGCGGUGAAAUGCGUAGAGAUCUGAAGGAAUACCGGUGGCGAAGGCGGCCCCCUGGACAGAUACUGACACUCAGAUGCGAAAGCGUGGGGAGCAAACAGGAUUAGAUACCCUGGUAGUCCACGCCGUAAACGAUGUCUACUUGGAGGUUGUGGCCUUGAGCCGUGGCUUUCGGAGCUAACGCGUUAAGUAGACCGCCUGGGGAGUACGGUCGCAAGAUUAAAACUCAAAUGAAUUGACGGGGGCCCGCACAAGCGGUGGAGCAUGUGGUUUAAUUCGAUGCAACGCGAAGAACCUUACCUACUCUUGACAUCCAGAGAACUUUCCAGAGAUGGAUUGGUGCCUUCGGGAACUCUGAGACAGGUGCUGCAUGGCUGUCGUCAGCUCGUGUUGUGAAAUGGUUGGGUUAAGUCCCGCAACGAGCGCAACCCUUAUCCUUGUUUGCCAGCGAGUAAUGUCGGGAACUCCAGGGAGACUGCCGGUGAUAAACCGGAAGGAAAGG
rnacentral:rRNA from 1 species